rnacentral:lncRNA from 13 species
AUGGAGAGACUUAGGUUGAAGUGGAAAGGGUCCCCAGGAAUCUCAAGAAGUAUCAAAGAACUGAAACUCACCAGAUCACAUCCAGACAAUGAGAUGCCCACUCCUCAUUCAUCAUGGUUGCUUCCUUGCUCUUUCCUAGUUCAUGCUUUCUUACACAUUGUUGCAUUUCUUCCCUACUAUAUAAACUCCGACUUUUGGUGGGUCAGGGGGAGGAUUAGAGACUGCUCUCCUAUCUCCUUGACUGCAGCACCCAGUUAAAGCCUUCUUGCUCGGAUACAUUCAUCAUCUCAGUGACUGGCUUCCUGUGAGGUGGGCAGCAGGACCUAGACCAAACCCCUGGUGUUUUGGUAACACAAGGACCACUUGAUGUAGGGUUAUGUGGAGUUUGUUAAGAAAUUUGUAUUUCAUCUUGUUUUUAAAGAAAGCUACAUACUUUUUGAUAUAAGCAACUAUCCGUGAGGAGAUGAUCAUGUAGACAGGAGGAAACAAACUCUCUUUACCUCAAACCAUCAUGAGACAGACAGAGACAGUUGAAACAAGCGACUCAAUCGUAUUUCUAGGAGAGUAAAUGCCAUUAGGAUUUUGAAUUAUGUAAUCAGUGUAUCUCUUAGCGAUGGGAACAACUCCGGCUUCACGAGGGCACUGCCGUGAAUAUAAGGGGACAAUGGAAUCCUUAUUCACAGGAGUCAAAGAAGUACUCUAGAUCCAGAGGGGCAAGUAGAAAGUAGUAAAACUUAGGAAUAGGGACCAAAGAUAAUAUAUGACCCCAUGGAAUAAGUCAGUUUUGGAGAGAACAAAAGGAACCAUGAAUCUAGGCAGAAUGAUUCCUUGAUGGCUAGCUCAGAAAUCCUGGAUCCUGAAUCAGAUUGAUUCUGAGAGAGAACAAAUGAAGAGAGCAGGAAUCCACUAAGAAAUGACAUUUUGAAGUCCUCAUAAGUUUGUGAUGCCGACAGCUCUUCUGUAGUAGCUGCCCUUGGCCAGUAACUCAGAUAUGUUGAAUGCUACAUGUGGGAAAAUCUUGGAGGUGUGGGAAGCUAUAAGUAAGGAUACUUCAAUGGAACAGGGGAAAAAAUUGCACUGCAAAAGCCUGUUUUUAAAAAUGAAACUUACUAAGCUGUGUCUGUAAAACUGUGUUUUUAAAUUAUAUAACCAAAUUAAUAUUCAUAAGACUCACCUUGGAAGUCAGACAUUAACUUCAAAACUAGUUUUAUUUCUCAUGGCGAUUUCAGAGCUCUUUUACAAGAUAUGCGGGUACAUACCCAUGUGACCAGACUUGUCUGAUUUCUUCAGUAACAUUCCUCUUUGAUCUGUGACUGAAGGCUGGUUCUCAAGUCAGAUCUACUCUAAAGAAUGAAUAUUUGUCACCACUUAUAAGUUUUCAUAAAAUAUUCUUUUAAUCUUGAAGACAUGUUCAAAAUUGUGUUGAGUGUCACACCAUUAUUAGAAAACAUGAAAUUCCCAACGUAACUACAGGAUUUUUCUGCUUUCAUUUAUAAGUAAUUCUUUAAAAUUUCUACGAAAAACUCCAUAUAAAAAAGUCAAAUAUUAAACUACUCCUUAUAAACUAUUUUAAAACAUAUCCAAAAUUGUGUUUGAGCACUGUAUACACAUUUGUGUUUACCGUUUAUGCAUAUUUAUUUUCUUUCAUAAAUAAGCAGACAGUUGGAUGACAUAAAUUUAAAGGGUAGACAAAGCUAAGGAUUUGCUUCUUUCUAGAAUUGCGCCAAUUGUAUUGUUUUAUCAUUUGUAUCACAUUUUCAUUUGUCCAAUUUUAGUCCUUUCUAAAUAAAGAGGGUAGAAAGUAAAAAAUAUUUAAAUAA